CCAACGGUCCUUUUCAGGGCCACAAUUUGUUGAAAAACAGUUUUUU
rfam:Trichinella britovi scaffold247s, whole genome shotgun sequence.